GCGUUCAUAGCUCAGUUGGUUAGAGCACCACCUGACAUGGUGGGGGUCGCUGGUUCGAGUCCAAUGAACGCACCA
rnacentral:tRNA from 1 species